rnacentral:rRNA from 1 species
AUUGAACGCUAGCGGCAUGCCUUACACAUGCAAGUCGAACGAGUGGCGGACGGGUGUGUAAUGUAUCGGAACUUGCCCUAUGGAGGGGGCUAACUACUCGAACGGGUGGCUAAUCCCCCUUACCAUUGGCUCGUCCCAUAUCGGAUUAGCUAGUUGGGGGGGUAAAGGCUAACCAAGGCAACGAUCCGUAGCUGGUUUGAGAGGACGACCAGCCACACUGGGACUGAGACACGGCCCAGACUCCUACGGGAGGCAGCAGUGGGGAAUUUUGCACAAUGGGGGAAAGCCUGAUCCAGCCAUCCCGCGUGUAUGAGAAGGCCUUCGGGUUGUAAAGUACUUUUGGCAGAGAAGCGGUAUCUGAAGAAUAAGCACCGGCUAACUACGUGCCAGCCGCCGCGGUAAUAC